rnacentral:rRNA from 1 species
GACGAACGCUGGCGGCGUGCUUAACACAUGCAAGUCGAACGGAAAGGCCCUGCUUUUGUGGGGUGCUCGAGUGGCGAACGGGUGAGUAACACGUGAGUAACCUGCCCUUGACUUUGGGAUAACUUCAGGAAACUGGGGCUAAUACCGGAUAGGAGCUCCUGCUGCAUGGUGGGGGUUGGAAAGUUUCGGCGGUUGGGGAUGGACUCGCGGCUUAUCAGCUUGUUGGUGGGGUAGUGGCUUACCAAGGCUUUGACGGGUAGCCGGCCUGAGAGGGUGACCGGGCCAAAUGGGGAUGGAGAGACGGCCAAGACUCCUACGGGAGGAAGAAGUGGGGAAUAUUGCACAAGGGGCGGAGGCCUGAGGCAGCAACGCCGGGUGCGGGAGGACGGCCUUCGGGUGGUAAACGGCUUUGGCCGGUGACGAGGCGGGAGUGACGGUAAGGGUGAAAGAAGCACCGGCUAACUACGU